UCUAUUGUGCUUUAUCUCCAUUACAACACUGGCUGCGCCCCCCCCUGGGUGAUCUGCCUUGAACCCCCUAAUCUGCUGUGAUUCCAUCACUCCUGUUGAGCCACACAGACAGAUUAGUCAGCCUCCACGUACAACAGAUGUGUCCAGCGCCUGAUUUGUGUGUGUUUUAUUGACUCUGGCCAUCUGUUAAUACAGUUGCUGCUUUCUCCUCCUCUGUUUGUUGAUGCACACAGACAGGCGAGCCGAGUGCCAGGAGAAACAUUCAGUGAAGUGGAGAUUAGAGAUAUAAAAGGAAGAGCAGAAGAGAAGUGGAGCUCCUGAGUAAUAUUUCAGGAAAAGGCUGCUGGUUUGAGUGCUGACCUGUGACCCGCUGCAUCUCAACCAGUAAAACAGAAGUAUUUGUCCUUGUUUUUCAGCCCCCCUGAUUUAGAGGAGCGUGUGAGCAGUGCUGGUUGAUGGAUGAGUCUCACAUGGGGGCGCCCUAUGAGGCGGUGCGCCUAAUGUGUUGUUGUGGGACGUAGAAGAAUGAGAACGGGGGAGGAUGACGGUGCUGCAGCGACCUCCAGUGGAUUACAACGAAAAGCUGUUCAUCUUACGCUCCCACUGCAGUAAAAAGAUCGCCGACAAACACCUCCAGCCACAUCACCAACAUGGACGAGGUGCCGACAUCCCGGUUGACGUCAUGAAAUGGGCGGCACCUACAAGGAGAGAAAGGUGGAGCCUCAGACAUCGAGGUGUCAUACUUCCGGAUAGAUCAGCCUGAAAAUUGAAAGGUUCCGGUUCGAGUCCCGGCUGAACCAGGACAUCAACGGGGGACCUUUCUAUGUGGAGUUUGCAUGUUCUCCCCGUGCAUCCGUGGGUUCUCUCCAGGAACUCCGACUUCCUCCCACCGUCCGAAAACAUGCUUCACUCUAAGUUCUCCCUAGGUGUAAGUGUGAGUGUGCAUGGGUGUGUGAUUGUGGCGACCUGUCCACCAUGUCCCCAGCCUUUGCCCACGAGUGGCCGGGAUAGGCUCCGGCAGCCCUGUGACCCGAAAAGGGCAACACGGGUUUAGAAGAUGAUGAUGAAAUAUCGAAAUUUAUACCAUGGUCUGGGUGAAUACUCGAUUCUGAUUGGCUGCUGGGUGUACAUUAAAAAGUGAUAAACCACAGUGAUAACCGCAUGGUGAAAAAAGAAGUUCCGGUCACCUAGCUUAAAUGUUAUAUAUCGCCGAAUUUUGACUGCAGCGGUGGUGCGCCGCACCAUGUAACAAAAAUUCUGCUUUUUGUGAGAAAAGCAAUCCAAAUUGGAGAAAAUAAAAAGAAUUAAGGACUAAAAACUGGUUAAUAUGUAUUGCUUUUGUAAGUGGCCAUCGUAUAAGCGGGUUAAUGGCCUUCGAAGUGUGCAUUAUUACUUUUUAACGCUUUGCGUUGGACGGUUCAGGCUUCCACGGCGUGCGUUAAAAAGUAAUAAUGCACACUUCGUCAGCCAUUUAGCCUUACGUAUCUUCUCAUAUCACUUUGGUUAUGAAGCUUCAGUAAUAAAAAAUAAAUAAAUAAAGAGAGCAAAUAUACUUAUUAGACGGCAGCAACAGUUUUUCUGAGGAGGUCGUGCAUUAACAAACUUCUUGUCAUGGUCUUCAAAACAGCUGAGAUUAAUGUUAAAAACUAAGAGAUUUAAUUUGGUUUCUCCAUGUUAAAAAGUAAUUCUGUUUAAUAAAAUGUGUUUAAAACAUUUCUUAAAUUAGGAAAUGUGUGUUUUCUGAGUCUCAAGUCAGGUUUUUCUAUUGUCUGGUGUUUGGAGCAAAAGGAUUUUGACUCGUUUUGAUAAUAAUUUCCUUAUUUCUAGAUCCUAAUGAGAUAAAAAAAAACACACAAUAUCUCCAAUUUGGAGAAAAACUUAGAAAGGUGUAGAAGUUAAAACAACUUCAAACCUAGUAAAAUACCUUAAAUGUAUGAAAGCAAGGUUGUAGGUCUUUGCAAGCAGUCUAAAAUAUAGUUUCUCUGUGUAGGUAAAAAGAAAAAAUGAUAACAACUUGAUCUAUUUUGUGGUGACAGCGCUGUUUUCUCAGUAAUUAAAGGUAUCUGCAGCAGAAAGAUGGGAGGCGUGAACCGCGUGGGAAUCUGUGUGUGGGAUCUUUGGUUUUGGCCCCCGUAUGUUUGUGGCCAUGUGUGCAUCAGAGAAGGACGCCCAGCAGGCGGUGUUGUUGUAGGUGAGAGUGAGGAGCCCCCCGAUGGGCAACUGUGGCAGAGAGGCCAGCUUUGAUCAAAAGCCCAAGAGGAGGAGGGAGGAGGAAGAAGAGGAGAGGCAAGAGGAAGUGAGGCGAGGGCUGUAGAAUGGGAAACCUGGAAUGAUGGACCGUGUCCUUAAAUCCACAGUGGGACCCCUUCAACCAGCAUGAAAACCACCUGCUUCCCUGCCACCACACAGUCUGCCUCAGUGAAAUAGACUUUACUGCCACUAUUAUCAAGACUGGAAACUUGUGGAGCUUAUGUGAGCUUAUUUUUCUUGCUCUGCGUAUCUUUCUUCAUCCAGUUUUAGCAAACAGCAGGGCGAUGUCCUGCUUUUGCAUCCGGUUUGUUCCUCUGAUGAGAUUUUUUUAUAAAAGCAGCUCCACAGAGUCGGCCUUUUCCAAACACCUGAAUAAUGUAUUUAUGCAGUAGGCUUGGGGCGGCGUAUUGAUUGUGGACAGAUUGAGUUACCAGGGAAUCUGUGGGAAGUCUCACAAAAGGAGAGGAGCUAACCAGGGGCAUGUGUGCAAGAAGCCGUGCAGCCAGACAAAUGUAUUCAGACCAAAUUCAUGCAGCUUAGGUCAUUCUGGCUGCACAUUUGCCUCCAGGGAGAUGGCUUUAAUUGAGACCCUCAUUUUUUUCCAAACAGGACACUGUUGUUCCGAUCUCGGGAUGUUUCAUCUUUUUAAUUGACUUUUUUACAUUUUAAGCUAAUAUACACUGUAUUUUCAAACAUUUAGUGCAGUUUUGCAUCUUAACAAAAAGCUUCUGGAUAACUUUCUUUCAAGAAUUGUUAUAUAGGUUAAAACAUUGCACAUUUGCAAAACUCAAAAGAGGAAAAGUUCAAAACUUCCGCCUCAGACUGGAUGGCUGCAGCACAAACCAUGAAGGCUUGUUGCUUCGUCUGCCAAGUGGAACUGCAAACAUGCAUCCAAAGCCAGCCUCUUUAUUGCUGCUCCCCACUUCCACAGAAAAUUCAAUUUGACAGAAUAAAUUAACAACAGAGCGUCAUUUCAGCGGGCCUGCAGAUUUCCACCAAAGGGCUGUUUUUCAAUGUGCUGGAGAUGCUCCUUUUUCUUUGACACCUACCUGUCUAAUAAAUUAAUAAAGAUUCAUACAAAUUAAAGCAGCAAGCAAAUGGGCCCCUUCGCCGCCACCCCCACCCCCUUUGACCCGCCCCCUUUACUGUACCCUUCUGCUCCUGCUCAUAUUAUAUUGUUUCUUUCAGCUUGAUCCAACGAUUCAUGUAUUAAAUGUUCUCAAUGUUCCGGUACAGGGAAAGAUCAACUGGGAAAUGCCACUUUUCCGAAGUCGCCACACCAAAUCUACAAGGUUAAUUUUCUGACAUUCUUUCCCCAAAGUAGCUUCCCGAGGCUCUAGCAGUUAGGAGGCGAUAGAUAGAUUAAAUUUGCAGUUGGUACUAAAGGUGACUAAAGGCUUUUUGAAAAAUUUAGGAUCGCAACCUCUCCCUGAGGUCAAAGGUCAACAAAACUUUUGUUGUGGUUGUGGACUUCGCCUGGCGGUGUGUGUGAAAUUUCAUCAAGAUCAUUCAAACAAAGGGUUUUGCCACAACGUGGCGGCCAAGUUGUACAGUAGGUCCUGUGGCCAUCCCAUAAUAAUUUUAAAAAUAUCCUUUAGAUAUGUUUGACACGUGUGUUUUGGUUUUAUUCGUGGAUUUAGAAAUUAUUUUUUGAGCCCCAUCAGAGACUUUCUCUCCAUUUAUUUUUUAAAGGUUGUCUCCUGCUGUGAUGUCAUCAUUUCCUCCUGUGUGUGUGUGUGUGUGGGGGGGGGGGGGGUCACUUUGUCAAAAUUCAUAUUUACUUGAUUACUUGAUAUUUGCUUGAUAUUUACUGGGCUCAUGCAAAUUUUGGUGAGUUUUUGAGUGGCUAUGGUCACAUUUUCGCUCAAAGACUCAGAAAGAAGUCCAGGACGGCCGCUGCAGGACAGAAUUAGAAAACCAAAAUGUUGGUAAUCAAACGUUUAAAUCCUAAAAUUUCAUUCAAUCAAAGUGUCUUUGACAAAAAGACAGGAAGAAAUGUUAAACAAUCUUUGAAAGCAGCAAUAGAGUUUUGAAAGAUAAUUUAGAAGUUCUCAAAUAAAUUAAGAAUGAGCAUUGUCACUUUCAAAAUGUCAUGUCUGUGUUUUAUUUUAAUCUUAUCUUAAAGGUUUGGACCAAAGAAAAAACAGUUUUUUUUCUUAGAGCAGAUUGUCUCCUCGUUGUAAUUAUAGCUGCACUGAUGACCAUAAAGAAAGGCUGAGUCCUCUGUUGUGCUGUGAAGUGCACAUGCCUGAAAGAGAGCGGUUCAGCACAUUUGCUGUUUCACAACAUUAACAAAUAACAUUAUAAUUUUCAGAAUUAAACUCUCAGGAAAGUGUUAUAUUCUCAUCAUUUUCAUGUGAAGCUGCAGAGAGAUGUCACCUGGAGCGCUCUGAUCUGACGAAAGCAGAGAACUCUGCACAGCUUGUGUGGCCCUGCAGCAGUUCGACACCAAACUCAGCCACAGGUUCAGUCCCUCCCAACCUCCCAAGCAGAAACUGCAACUCCUGAAUUAUGGCGUCUGAAUAGAGCAGGGGCCAACAAAGCGCCAGGGCCUUGAGGCCCCGGCCGUUUCAGGGGUCUGCCUUUCCAAGUGUCCGGUGCUGAGAUGAGGAGUUGCACGGGUGGGGGCUCCCAGUGCAUUAGGCAGUAAUAGUGUUGAAAGCGCGCGCCGUGGAGCCGGCCUGUGCGCGCGCAGGUGGACCAGAGAGUCCGUCCUCCUUCAUAUCGCCACCUAGCGCCUGCAGCAGGAAGCGCAGGAGCCCCCCCCCCCCCCAUCCCUCCCGUCC